UGCUCAGCAACUCCUAUCCCUACCACCACGUGGUACCGGCAACCUUAGGGAAGAUCGGGUAACCAACCCCGGCGGGAACUUUGGUCAUAGGCUGACAGAGAAGG
rnacentral:ribozyme from 1 species